GAACAUGGCUUAGUGGUCAGAGCUAUUGGACAGUUUCCAAGAGGUGUGGGCUCGAGUCCCAUUGUGAUCA
rnacentral:tRNA from 1 species